rnacentral:rRNA from 1 species
GACGAAACGCUGGCGGCGUGGAUUAGGCAUGCAAGUCGAACGGUAUCAUCCUUUCGGGGGUGAGAGAGUGGCGAACUGGUGAGUAACACGUAGGUUAUCUACCCUCAAGACGGGGACAACCCAGGGAAACUUGGGCUAAUACCGGAUGUGAGCAACUUUUAGUUGUUUGAAAGGUGGCGUAAGCUGUCGCUUGGGGAUGAGCCUGCGUCCUAUUAGUUAGUUGGUGAGGUAACGGCUCACCUAGGCAAUGAUAGGUAGGCGGCCUUAACGGGUGGUCGCCCACACUGGGAUUGAGAUACGGCCCAGACUCCUACGGGAGGCAGCAGUCGAGAAUAGUCUACAAUGGUCGGAAGACUGAUAGUGCGACGCCGCGUGAACGAUGAAUCCCUUCGGGGUGUAAAGUUCUUUUAUAUGUGAGCAGUGCUUCUUAUAUUAACAGUAUGGGGAGAGAGAUAUUAGCAUAUGAAUAAGCAACGGCUAACUCCGUGCCAGCAGCCGACGGU